GGAAAAAUGGAAGUGGAAGAGGAGGAGGAGCCAAGCCACAAUAUUUAGCUGAGGUGGGCCUCCGCUGUGGCCAGGCAGUUCAGCCUUGCCGUCAACCCUCCAUGUGAUGAGUCCGCAGAAAACAACACGCCGAUUUAUUUGAAGUCAAGGACGGAGAUUAAAACGGCCUUGAAAAACACCACACCUGUUUUGUCCACCGCCAUCACCACCUUUUCCCAGAUCAAGGAAGUGUAUUACAGACUCACACAUAAGGAAGAGGUGUGAGGUUGCGUGGUAGGUGCGUUCACUGGUCUGGGCUGUGUUGGUGCGUGUUCUGAAGAGAUGACCGCAGAAACGCUGGCUGCUGAUGACUACAGCCGCACAGAGGUAGUGUACUGUACAAGCUGGAUGGAAGUAUGCAAACCUCGCAAUGAAGAUGGAAAAGUUGAGGAAAUGGUUCUUCU
rnacentral:misc_RNA from 1 species